rnacentral:rRNA from 1 species
CUAGUUGGCGAGGUAACGGCUCACCAAGGCAACGACGGGUAGCUGGUCUGAGAGGAUGGCCAGCCACAUUGGGACUGAGAUACGGCCCAGACUCCUACGGGAGGCAGCAGUGGGGAAUCUUGCGCAAUGGCCUAACGGCUGACGCAGCGACGCCGCGUGUGGGAUGAAGCUCCUCGGAGUGUAAACCACUGUUGCCCGGGACGAAUAGCUCGAUUAAUCGAGCCUGACGGUACCGGGUGAGGAAGCACCGGCUAACUCCGUGCCAGCAGCCGCGGUAAUACGGAGGGUGCGAGCGUUGUCCGGAAUCACUGGGCGUAAAGGGCGCGUAGGCGGCUUUUUAAGGGUGCGGUGAAAGCCCGGGGCUUAACCCCGGGUCGGCCGUGCCGACUGAAAAGCUGGAGCACUGUAGAGGCAGGUGGAAUUCCGGGUGUAGCGGUGGAAUGCGUAGAGAUCCGGAAGAACACCAGUGGCGAAGGCGGCCUGCUGGGCAGUUGCUGACGCUGAGGCGCGACAGCGUGGGGAGCAAACAGGAUUAGAUACCCUGGUAGUCCACGCCGUAAACGAUGGGCACUAGGUGCCUGGGGGAGCGACCCCCUGGGUGCCGGCGCUAACGCAUGAAGUGCCCCGCCUGGGGAGUACGGCCGCAAGGCUGAAACUCAAAGGAAUUGACG